AAAGGAAGAAUGAUACACAGAGAAAGCAAAUAUAUGAAGGAACAUACUGGAAGCACAACAGAACCUUGGCUAUGAAGACUAUUCAAGGUUUUGUUAUUCAAGGUCUAUGUCAUUUAAAUAAGUGGCUUUGGUUUGAUGAUACUUAAGGAAAGAAAUGGAGAGCUAAUUGGACUAAGUAUGACAGUAAAGAGGAGAAUGGGAUUUCCAAAUGGGAUUUAAGGAUUAUCAUGAAGAUGGACAGGACAUUACAUCACACUGGAAAAGUGAAACAUCCCACUCAGCUGGUGAUCUUCCUGUCAUGAAAGCAGCUUGACAGCUCCAAUUUUCAAUUGAACGCAUUAAACACCUGGUGAAAUUAUCAAUUAAAAACAUCUACUCACCAUAGUUAUGUGUGUCUAAGUUUCUGUUGUAACUGAGCGAGUUAGGAGGAACACACCACUCUCUGAGUUACAAAUCAAGAGUCCUUUAUUAAUUAGCCUGUGACCCAGAGACAAUUAAUGCUCAAAGUUCUCUCUGCCCAACGAAGGGGUCUGAUUAUCUUUUAUACCUUGAUUUAGGUAGGGGAGGGGAGUACCUAGCUGAAGCAGAAUUUUACAGAAGCAGCAAAGCAGGUUAGAGGAAGUGGCUGUGAGAACAAGUGGUUGCCAUACAAUUAUCAAGAAGGGGAGCAAUCAGGCUCCUUCUAUGCAAUGAUCAAAGGGAAACUUUUUUCUUUUUUUACAGUAGGAGGGAAUAGGUAUGCCAAGCAGGGUGCGGUUACAAUG
rnacentral:lncRNA from 13 species